UAUCUCACAUCUAUUAUCAUC
rnacentral:piRNA from 1 species